rnacentral:rRNA from 1 species
GACGAACGCUGGCGGCGUGCCUAAUACAUGCAAGUUGAGCGAUGAAGAUUGGUGCUUGCACCAAUUUGAAGAGCAGCGAACGGGUGAGUAACGCGUGGGGAAUCUGCCUUAGAGCGGGGGACAACAUUUGGAAACGAAUGCUAAUACCGCAUAACAACUUUAAACAUAAGAUUUAAGUUUGAAAGAUGCAAUUGCAUCACUCAAAGAUGAUCCCGCGUUGUAUUAGCUAGUUGGUGAGGUAAAGGCUCACCAAGGCGAUGAUACAUAGCCGACCUGAGAGGGUGAUCGGCCACAUUGGGACUGAGACACGGCCCAAACUCCUACGGGAGGCAGCAGUAGGGAAUCUUCGGCAAUGGACGAAAGUCUGACCGAGCAACGCCGCGUGAGUGAAGAAGGUUUUCGGAUCGUAAAACUCUGUUGGUAGAGAAGAACGUUGGUGAGAGUGGAAAGCUCAUCCAGUGACGGUAACUAACCAGAAAGGGACGGCUAACUACGUG